AUGAUGAGAUUUAAACUCCACUUGAAUGAAAUUCAUGUGGGAUGGACGGUAGAUACUCACGC
rnacentral:sRNA from 1 species